GAUGAACGCUGGCGGCGUGCCUAAUACAUGCAAGUCGAACGCUUUGUGGUUCAACUGAUUUGAAGAGCUUGCUCAGAUAUGACGAUGGACAUUGCAAAGAGUGGCGAACGGGUGAGUAACACGUGGGAAACCUACCUCUUAGCAGGGGAUAACAUUUGGAAACAGAUGCUAAUACCGUAUAACAAUGACAACCGCAUGGUUGUUAUUUAAAAGAUGGUUCUGCUAUCACUAAGAGAUGGUCCCGCGGUGCAUUAGCUAGUUGGUAAGGUAAUGGCUUACCAAGGCGAUGAUGCAUAGCCGAGUUGAGAGACUGAUCGGCCACGAUGGGACUGAGACACGGCCCAUACUCCUACGGGAGGCAGCAGUAGGGAAUCUUCCACAAUGGGUGAAAGCCUGAUGGAGCAACGCCGCGUGUGUGAUGAAGGGUUUCGGCUCGUAAAACACUGUUGUAAGAGAAGAAUGACAUUGAGAGUAACUGUUCAAUGUGUGACGGUAUCUUACCAGAAAGGAACGGCUAAAUACGUGCCAGCAGCCGCGGUAAUACGUAUGUUCCAAGCGUUAUCCGGAUUUAUUGGGCGUAAAGCGAGCGCAGACGGUUAUUUAAGUCUGAAGUGAAAGCCCUCAGCUCAACUGAGGAAUUGCUUUGGAAACUGGAUGACUUGAGUGCAGUAGAGGAAAGUGGAACUCCAUGUGUAGCGGUGAAAUGCGUAGAUAUAUGGAAGAACACCAGUGGCGAAGGCGGCUUUCUGGACUGUAACUGACGUUGAGGCUCGAAAGUGUGGGUAGCAAACAGGAUUAGAUACCCUGGUAGUCCACACCGUAAACGAUGAGUGCUAGGUGUUUGAGGGUUUCCGCCCUUAAGUGCCGCAGCUAACGCAUUAAGCACUCCGCCUGGGGAGUACGACCGCAAGGUUGAAACUCAAAGGAAUUGACGGGGACCCGCACAAGCGGUGGAGCAUGUGGUUUAAUUCGAAGCAACGCGAAGAACCUUACCAGGUCUUGACAUCCCUUGACAACUCCAGAGAUGGAGCGUUCCCUUCGGGGACAAGGUGACAGGUGGUGCAUGGUUGUCGUCAGCUCGUGUCGUGAGAUGUUGGGUUAAGUCCCGCAACGAGCGCAACCCUUAUUACUAGUUGCCAGCAUUCAGUUGGGCACUCUAGUGAGACUGCCGGUGACAAACCGGAGGAAGGUGGGGAUGACGUCAAAUCAUCAUGCCCCUUAUGACCUGGGCUACACACGUGCUACAAUGGCGUAUACAACGAGUUGCUAACCCGCGAGGGUGAGCUAAUCUCUUAGAGUACGUCUCAGUUCGGAUUGUAGGCUGCAACCCGCCUACAUGAAGUCGGAAUCGCUAGUAAUCGCGGAUCAGCACGCCGCGGUGAAUACGUUCCCGGGUCUUGUACACACCGCCCGUCACACCAUGAGAGUUUGUAACACCCAAAGCCGGUGGGGUAACCUUCGGGAGCCAGCCGUCUAAGGUGGGACAGAUGAUUAGGGUG
rnacentral:rRNA from 1 species